CCGUUGCUUGUUUCCUCGUUCAUAUUUUGCCCAUACCUGUCGCUAAGAUCACACACACCUACUGCAAAAGUUAACCAAUGCUUUGGCGCAAUAAUCGCAAUUAUGGUGAUUUCGUUGCGAAUGUAAUGCGUUCUCCGGCAAAACUCGUAACUAAUACGCUUCGGCGCCACCACCCGCACACGUGGGAAACUAACCAAACAAACUGAGAAACAACAAAGACGCCGAAAACAAAGUAAACGACUAAGAUGCCAGGAAUACAAAAGAAAUCAUUUAUUCUUUCUUAGACUCUUCUCGAAGUCACAAAAAAUGCCCAACGUGGCUAAGGUGAAAAAUAAAGCAAAUUUAAAUCAUUGUAAAACAGCUAUUAAGAGAAGCAAAGAAAAAAAUCUUCAUGCAAUAAUGUUAAACCUAUCUAUAAUUUUACAUAGAGAACAAUUCAUUUGUAAAUAUUCCCUUUUAGCCACCUAAACAGAAAAUAUAAAAUUCCCAUAAAUUAGCUGCUUAUCAAUAUGGAAAAUGAAAUAUCUAUGACGACAAUAUGUAUAAGAAUCAUAUGGUUAUAACGAAUCGGAUGAAAUAUGCCCCAUGGGAAGAAAAUCAGAAACAAUGCAGAGAGCAAGGUACUUUAAAUACAAAAAAUAGUAGAUUUUAUAGUCUUAGUUGUAUUAGAAAUAUUUCAAGUUUUAUAUGUCCAAUUUAUUUUAAAUCUGUAUAUGAACAUGCGCUAUAUGUUGAUAAUAAAAACAUUACAUUAUGGCUAUAUUAUAUUGAAAUAGUAAUGCGCAAUAAGUACAUAAAUUAUGCCAGAAAUUUAUUAGAUCGUGCAGUCACAGUUUUACCUAGAAUAAAUCAAUUUUGAUACAAAUACACAUAUAUGGAAGAAAUGUUAGAAAAUAUUAUUGGUAAGAUUUGAUAUAAAAUUAGAGAUUAUUUUUUAUUAUCUAACUUGAUUUUAUAGAGAUUUAUUAUAGAAGCACGUCAAGUUUUUGAGCGAUGGAUGGAAUGGGGACCUGACUAACAGGCAUAGUAAACAUAUAUUAAAUUUGAAUUACUAUAUAAAGAAAUACAAAAAGCUAGGUAGAGAUAUAUAAUUGUAUAUGGAGAUAUAUAGUUCUGUAAAAAAUUUAGAACGCAAAGUUUAUGAAGGUGUUAUAAACUUUUUCGGAGAUGAGAACUUAGAUGAAAAGCUAUUUCUAGCAUUUGCAAGAUUUGAAGAAGGACAGAAAGAACAUGAUAUAGCAAAAAUAAUUUCUAAGUAUGCUUUAGACA